rnacentral:rRNA from 1 species
AUGUGUAUAACUGAACCGUCGUCCCCGCAACACCUGUCCCUAGUAUGUGCCUGUAGGUGCCCCUGGCGACGAACAGAGGAAGGAGCGGCGAUGGGUUCCUCGCAGACGGAGAUAAGCACGACGACGCUCGUGGGGCCUGUUUUUGGAUCUGAGACCUCGAGCGAUAUUCUGCGCUUGGAUUUCCAGCCAGAUCCAGACAUUUUUUGCAGCCAUACGGGCAUGCUUGAAUCCCUACGGGAGGUGACAAAGGACCACCCAGGCGGGACAUUUGCAGAUUCGUUAGAUUCUGUUGAUGUGCGUCCGGUGGAGGAGCAGAUUCAGAGGGCAGAAAACAAGUACGUUGCCCUUGAUGACGAAGUGGGAUGGGUUAGGAGAUAA